UUACGCAAAAUACUGUAUUAUUUAUAAUUAGACUUCAAUUUCAUAAUAAAAAAUAAGGUGAGGGAUUCUUAUCCGAAUCGGUGUUCGAAAUAUUAAACUUUCAGCUGCGCCUACUGGCGGUCCCCAGGUUCCCUGAAUUUUCUUUUGAAGAUUAAAACACGCUUCAAGUACUUAGAAAUACCCCAAAAAACCUAAAAUCGAUGUUAAAAACCUUUGUUUGUC
rnacentral:lncRNA from 1 species